CCUCAUUGGUGAUAGCCCCCCACCCUUCCGUCCAUCUCAUGUGGCCGCCCUCAGUAGAGGCGAGCGAUGUGUUUCCAUGGAAACAGACCUGUCGGGGCCCAGCCGUCGGAAACCAGACCUGACCUGGCCGGAGAGGAAGCAGGCGGUGACCUGGCUGAUCGCCCAUCCGUCCGACACUACGUGCUGUCACUGUGGAAAACAAAGUGUGCCUUGACCAAGCCAAAGAAAACUCUAAUGGAAGACAGUUGAUUAAUUGUCUAAGUGUGUCUCGUUGUCUCGUCAGCUCUGGUUCGCGUGGUGGAGUUGGACCCAAAUAAAGGGAGGCAAGGCAGGAGUCUCAAAAAGGUUUUUAAUUUCAAAAACCAAAGCAAGCAAGCAAGGUAUGUCAAAUAAUCCAAAGACUAAAUCAUCAAAUCAUCUGCCUGGUAGACACAAGGGACAGGGGUAACAAGAACAGGUGGAAAUGAAAACCUGAACAUGGGGCACAGGAAUAUAAGACUAAACAGGAAACAAAACAAAAUAUCAUCUCAACAAAAAGACAGACCAUGACAGAAUCUAUAUUAUGUAUGUGUAUUGAAAUAAUUCAACUUUUCUAACAUUCUAAUUUAUGGAGAUGUACCUGUAUGUUAAGUUCACUCAAGACUUAAUAUUGUCUUGGAAGUUUAUAAAAACCCGUAUGUUACAUACUUUGAUGUGUAAACAAACCCACGUUAAGUUCAUUGAAGUCUAAACUGUCUUUGAUGUGAGACUAAAUAGUUGUUGUUUACAAAACGUUUUUAUUGAGGACUUUGACCGAAAUAGUCAAUGUUCAUGAAACACAUAUGUUACAUUCACUGACGACUACAUUAUAUGAAGCUCCCAAAAACGCAUACGUUUGGUUUGUUGAUUGACUUACAUUGUCCUUGAUGUUUACAACAACCGAUAUGUUAAUUGAUAAUCGAUAAAUAGUCUUUGAUGUUUAUAAAAUAUGUGUUAGGUUAGCGGACCUCAAAACUGUCUUUGAUGUUUACAAAAACACAUGUUCGGUUAAUUGAAAGCUUCAAAUUACCUUGAAAUGCGCACGAAACGUAUGUUAGGAUCUCUGAAGUCAAGAUUUCCUUUGGUGUUUGCAAAAAGAGCAAAAAUAUGUUGUCUUUAAUAUUACAAAAUAUUGAUGACUAAAUUGAUUGAUUGAUGUCUUUGAUGUGUACAAAACGUGUAUUUUAGGUUAAUUUAAGACUAAGUUGUCUCUGAUGUUAAACGUAUGCUAGCUCCACCAAACACUGAAACACCUUUAUGAAUGUCGACGCGGUUUCCAGCGCUCAUUCAAAUUAGCGCAACAUCAGGGACACGCAAUCGCAUCCCAACAAACCCGUCAAUGUUCCGAACGAGAGCAACAAAAGUUCAACUGGCAGUCUGAUUCAAUAACGCGUGUGCUGUAAGCGCCUUGCAUCCGUGCGGCUCCUGCCUCAUGAUGAACUGAUUAGCAAUAUUCAGACUGAAUUAUUAAUGUGACACGCGCGGAUGACAAGUCAUAAUAUUUAAGAGGUCGUAAAACGAAGAAGAAAAGCUCAGACGUGCAAACGAGUGUAACUGUCUUCUCGGAAAGCGAACAGUGACUUUAUAUUUAAGUGCAUCCCAAAUUAUCAUGCUAAUGAUAUUUUUCUCUGAGUUUUCUAAAUACUUGAUGCAACCGUCACAAUAUAAUUCAAAUAAUUUGGAACAAAUCUUCCAACUGUAACAGUAUUCUUUUGAAAAUUAAAAACGUUUUUUGCAUAUGUUGGUCUUCCACCAACCAUCCACUAUUCCAUCCAUCUGGAUGUUGCACGGCACUCAUCAGUGGACAAUCUCAUUCUGCGAGGUAUACCUCGGCAUCAUUUGCUGCUAUGGGCAUAAAAGGAAAGAAAGUCACGUUAUGGCCCCAUACCCCCCUGACCUCAACCCUACUGAGAAUCUUGGGAGCAUCCUCAAGCAACCUUGAAGGUGGGAGGCAGUUGACAUCCAAACGGCAGCUCUGGGAGGCUAUUCUAUUGACAUCCAGAAACGCUCCAAAAAGUCGCAAGGCUGCUGGGGAGAGAGCUUGACAACCCCUUUAGGGCUAAGUUAGCAGCACACAAAAACAACAGUGCGAAAUGAUGGAAGAUCCGCAACGGAGCAACACAUCUGCUUAAUGACCGGUGACAAUGGCAGAGAUUUGUAAUCUUUGAGGGUUGUGCCCUUCUUCCACCCCCAAAGAACGAGCUGUGGGGAUGAUCCCAUCUGAAAGCGGUGGCCACGGAAUUGUCGCCAUUCGUCUGUGUCUCACCUACCACGCUAAGCUGCGGGGAGUGUGACACAUUCCUCGCUGGCCGCUUGUCAGCAGCCGACACCGGCCAUGUGCUGCAAUGUGGACGUGUGUGGUCCAGACGGUGGCACGCAGGCCUCCAGACGUUGCCUUCAACAUUUUGUAGGGCACUCACUGAAAUACAUGGAUAUUCACAAUUUCCAACCGAGACAAUUAUUUUUUGAAGACAUUUAAAAAAAUAUUUGUAAUAACAUAUUUCAUAUUUCAUUUGUAAUAACAUAUUUUCAUUAUGAUAUCAUUGUUAAAUACAUUACGUCUGGGGUUCAAUCCCCGGCCCUGCCUUUUUACUCAUUUUUCAUCUUAGGACAUUUAAAAAAAUAAAUAAUGGUCAUAUAUUUAAUUGUGAUGAUCACAAAAGAGAAUUUGUUAUUUAACAUAAAUAUAUAGGCGGCACGGUGGACGACUGGUUAGAUCCUCUGCCUCACAGUUCUGAGGACCGGGGUUCAAUCCCCGGCCCCGCCUGUGUGGAGUUUGCGUGUUCUCCCCGUGCCUGCGUGGGUUUUCUCCGGGCACUCCGGUUUCCU